CUUCACCGACCCCAACCACAAAGGCCGGCCACCCACACGCUCCUGCCCAUACGUCGCCAGCAACGCCUGCGCCUC
rnacentral:antisense_RNA from 1 species